GACGAACGCUGGCGGCGCGCCUAACACAUGCAAGUCGAACGGAGCAUUGAGGAGCUUGCUUUUUAAUGCUUAGUGGCGAACGGGUGAGUAACGCGUGAGUAACCUGCCCUCGAGUGGGGGACAACAGUUGGAAACGACUGCUAAUACCGCAUAAGACCACAGAGCCGCAUGGCUCAGGGGUAAAAGGAUUUAUUCGCUUGAGGAUGGACUCGCGUCCAAUUAGCUAGUUGGUGAGGUAACGGCCCACCAAGGCGACGAUUGGUAGCCGGACUGAGAGGUUGAUCGGCCACAUUGGGACUGAGACACGGCCCAGACUCCUACGGGAGGCAGCAGUGGGGGAUAUUGCACAAUGGGGGAAACCCUGAUGCAGCGACGCCGCGUGAAGGAAGAAGGCCUUCGGGUUGUAAACUUCUGUCGUACGGGACGAUAAUGACGGUACCGUACAAGAAAGCCACGGCUAACUACGUGCCAGCAGCCGCGGUAAAACGUAGGUGGCAAGCGUUGUCCGGAAUUACUGGGUGUAAAGGGAGCGCAGGCGGACUAGCAAGUUGGAAGUGAAAUCUAUGGGCUCAACCCAUAAAUUGCUUUCAAAACUGCCGGUCUUGAGUAGUGCAGAGGUAGGCGGAAUUCCCGGUGUAGCGGUGGAAUGCGUAGAUAUCGGGAGGAACACCAGUGGCGAAGGCGGCCUACUGGGCACCAACUGACGCUGAGGCUCGAAAGUAUGGGUAGCAAACAGGAUUAGAUACCCUGGUAGUCC
rnacentral:rRNA from 1 species